GCCGGGACAUUGACGGUGGAGGAAGGUCCAUGAGUUUUCGCUGUUCGCCGGUAAUGCAAGUGCGUACUGCUCAAGUGUGUGGUUGUGAGAUCAUCUCGAAAUCCUUUUAACAGUUCAGGAACAACGUGAUGUAAAUAUGAGACGGGCCCUCGUCCUUCGUGCACUUCCUGUGUACCUGCGUGAAGAUGCCUCCAAGUUUUUCAGGACCUGUAAUUCAGCAGAUGGUCCAGACCUCACUGACACUCCGGUGGCUCUCCUGACAGUUGUCACUGAUGAUACUACUGAUGCGGCCCUCUUCAGCCCUGAGAGCAUCUGUAUUGUCGUGGAAGAUGAAAUACUUGUGAGUGGUCCCACAAACCUGGCUGACUCAUUUCUCCUGCUCUUUGGG